CUGGGGGAUGAGGUCACAGCUGGCAGAGACGUGCCAGCAGGUUGCAGAGUUUUCUGCAAAAUAAAUUAGCAGCAUUUAAUUUCAAGAAUCCAGAGGAAAAAAAAAAAAAAAGUGUUAAGAAGCGAUGGAGGCCGGGAAAUCAGCUGGGGCUGCAGCCAGGAGAGGCAUGGCCAGCUGUGAGAUCUUCUGGACUGACUUCAUUGAAUUCAUUAGUGGGUUCUUAGGCCAGGAGGAGGGAAGGUCCUGCCUGAGCCCCAGGCCCGUCACUGAAGUGAGUGUGCUUCCCCUGCCACGAUGCCUUGGGGCCCUUUGGGAAGGUACAAGGGACAUUUUAAGAAGUUCUGGGGACGUUUUUGCCCUUACCUCUCUUGCAGAAGGCGGGCAGCACCACUUGCGGCUCUCAGCGUCUUUAUCUCAGCGCACCAAUUUAGCUUUUCCCGAACUCAGUCCUGCAGGAGCACCUCGCUGCUUCUCCCUCCAUGGAUAUAUUUAGGUAUUUUCCCAUAUCCAAUUAAUCCAGCCCCUGCCUCGCUCCAUCCUGCCUUUCAUCCUCCUGCAAUAAAGCAUCCUUUGUUAGCAGCGCGCUGCCGGCCGCGUUCCUCCGCCAGGUUUGCGUGAAACGUCCCCAGGCCCUGCGAGGCGGCCACGUUCAUUACCC
rnacentral:lncRNA from 12 species